CCUGAGUGCUAUGGACAACAUGCUGUGGAUCGUGCUACACAGCCAUCCCACCUCCAGCAUCGAUAAGCAGCUGCAGAGUAUCUUUGAGGUGCUGCUGCCCUUCACCAUCUCCAAGAGAAAAACUGUGUGUGAGAGGGCCAUGGAGCGGAUCCAGAAGCUCUGCGGUUGCACAGCCAGCAGUUUCAGGCAGCAGUUAAGGAGACACGAACAUUCCAGCCAGGCACUCUCAUUCUUUGCAUCCCAGAGCUGCCUCUACAGCUCAGGGCUACCUGCAAGAAAAGCGUGUGCACAGCCACUUGGAAAGAACCUUCACCCUUCUCAGCGGACAGACAUUGUCCUUGCGACCCUUGAGAAGAUCACUGGAGACUACAGUUCUGAUGAAAAGGAGUGGGCUGAGGCUAUACUGGAUGUGGUUCGG
ensembl:lncRNA